rnacentral:lncRNA from 1 species
UACACUCUUCUUUCAAAGUUAUCUUCUCAUGGUACAACUUCACAAAAGGAUACUUUGACUUGAUGCUUGAUGAAAUUCUCCAUGGACGUCUUUAACUGAUCAUUUUUGUUUUCUUUCUUUGGUUUUUCCUUCAAAAUAGGAUAAGGAGGUUUCACAUAAUACAGAAGUUCAUGAUUUGGUUCGUUGAGAAUUUUCUUUUUGGUUAUUCUCAAAUGUAAGGUUU